GGCACCACCUGGAAGCAGCAGCUCAGACCCUCUCCUGACCUCUGCCACUCACCCAAGUGGUCUCCUCCCAGCAGGUGCAGCCACUAUGUCACCCUGGGCUUCUGUCCACCUGCCAGGACUUGGAGCCAAGCCGGGUCUCCUUGCAAUCCUGUGUGCCCUCCUGUUUCCCGAUGCUGGAAUGAAAUCCUCUGAAGCGUAUUACACACAGUGAUGCACACAGCUGUGACUUCAUUCAGCAAAUGUGGUCUGACACCUUUACUGCCUGAAAACAUGAUCUGCCUCCUUCCGCGUGAGGUUGCUAGAAAUUGGCUUCACGUGAUCUUCACCGGGAGACUGAGAAGACAGACUUUCACUUAAGACUGAGGCUAACGCCCACGGACUACACUAAUGGACAUCUUUGUUGUGAUUUCCACUGAAUGUCGGCCAAUGAGAGUUGAAGUUCAAAGGAACCAUGACCUCAUCAUUUGACAACAAUUUCCAUUCCUUGGGCACUAGACUUCCAAACCUGUGGAUCCAGGGCCCUGGGAGAAAAGAAACAGAUUCUUCCAGUGGGUUAAUCGGCGUGAAAAGGAAUGGCCACUCCCACCUACACCUCUUGGGUCCCGAGCACAAAUUCUGUCUCUGGGGUAGAAGGCCCUGUAUGUUGGCCCCAGGGGAGGAUGCAGCCAACCCAAGGCCACCUGUCAGGAGGGAACCCUGAGCUCACUCUGCUCCCAACUCCCAGCCUCCUCCUGAUGCUUCCACUGACUGCUUCCAAAUAGCAACCAGAGAAUAAGGAAACCCACCCAUGUGGUCCAUGAGGGUCCACCUCGUAAUGCCCAGAAUGAGGUAACGGACGAUGGACAGUCCAUCUGGAGGAGCAAAAGGAAGAAAUCAAGCAGAUGGUCACUUAAGUGGGUUAUGUUUUCCACCAAAUAAGUAAAAUAAGCUGGGGAAUAGGGGGCCACUUUGAAUUUGCUUAAUGUUUGUUAACUUUACAAGAAUGUACGUCGGCAUUUGUGAGCAAAUUUGGGUUGUCUCAGACCUGCUGCCCUACCCAGUGGAGCCUGGUCAGGACACUAUGAGGGCCACUCAUGAAGCCAUGGCUAAGGGUCACAGUGGGCACGCAUCUGAAUGAGUUCCUUUGUGGGCAUUCUGCCCCAGGACCCUUCCUGCUAGUGGAAGGGAAAAGGCCAACAAAAAUCACAUAUCUUCUCUGUUUAGUGAGCUAGUUUUAGCAGAAAGUGUCAAGGAAAAUACACGGAGAGCACUCAAAAUCCCAUAACCAGACUUAAAUAAACACUCACAAUGUGCAAAGAGGAUGAUGCUUUGGAAAUCUGUAGCUGGCAGAGUUUUAUCUUCCCAUAUACAUCAUGUCACUGGGAGCCCUUCUCAGGUUACACCAAACAUUGACAGAUACCAUCCACAAAAGCAGGCAGUGGCUGUGCCCAGAAUAAGCUCAUUUUAAAAGUUAAUCAUGAGUUGGGGCGCCUGGGUGGCUCAGUCGGUUAAGCGUCCGACUUCGGCCCAG